GGCAAGCAGGUGUUCCGUCGCUCGCUGUGAGUAACAUCGCAGUGAGAGGAACUUCCCGACUCUCGGUGUCGUCUUACGACGGCACAAAGUUGCCUGACGAAACAGCAAGUCAGGGCGGACCUCACCCCGACCCACUCCUACGAGGAGAGGGUCGGGGUAAGGACUGACGACAACUGCAACAGAAAGUAUUCCCGCCUGUAGGGGCGAACCCUUGUGGUCGCCCUUAUGGGUCAGGGGCGAAACGGUGGGGUAAUAGCCUACCAGCGUCGGCAGCAAUGCCGGCGGCUAGGUGAAUGUCCAACUGGGAGCAAGGCAGGUGGGCUGUUGCAGCAAUGCAAUGGUCCUGUCGCAGCGGUGCUGUCGCAAUCGUUAGAUCGCUGCAAGUACCGCCGGUGCGCAAGUAUCGAGACAGAUGACGGAAAUCAACAGAAUCGGGGGUACGACCACUUGCCAUGU
rnacentral:RNase_P_RNA from 1 species